rnacentral:ncRNA from 2 species
AGUCAACACAAGGGGAGCCAUUUCGGCUGAGAGUGAAUUGAAAUUCAGACCCUUUAAACCUGUUAUGUUAAUACAUGCGUAGGGAUCGUGUUUAGGGACACUG